AGGGUUUGAUCAUGGCUCAGAACGUACGCUGGCGGCACGCCUAACACAUGCAAGUCGAACGAAGUAGCAAUACUUAGUGGCAGACGGGUGAGUAACAUGUGGGUAUCUGCCCUUUGGCCUGGAAUAACACGAGGAAACUUGUGCUAAUACUGGAUAAGUCUUUACGGAGAAAGCUUUAUGCACCAUUGGAUGAGCCCGCACUUGAUUAGUUUGUUGGUGGGGUAAUGGCCUACCAAGACUUUGAUCAAUAGCUGAUUUGAGAGGAUGAUCAGCCACAUUGGGACUGAGACACGGCCCAAACUCCUACGGGAGGCAGCAGUGGGGAAUCUUGCACAAUGGAGGAAACUCUGAUGCAGCGAUGCCGCGUGAGUGAAGAAGGCCCUUGGGUUGUAAAGCUCUUUCGUCGGGGAAGAAAAUGACUGUACCCGAAUAAGAAGGUCCGGCUAACUUCGUGCCAGCAGCCGCGGUAAUACGAAGGGACCUAGCGUAGUUCGGAAUUACUGGGCUUAAAGAGUUCGUAGGUGGUUGAAAAAGUUGGUGGUGAAAUCCCAGAGCUUAACUCUGGAACUGCCAUCAAAACUUUUCAGCUAGAGUUUGAUAGAGGAAAGCAGAAUUUCUAGUGUAGAGGUGAAAUUCGUAGAUAUUAGAAAGAAUACCAAUUGCGAAGGCAGCUUUCUGGAUCAUUACUGACGCUGAGGAACGAAAGCAUGGGUAGCGAAGAGGAUUAGAUACCCUCGUAGUCCAUGCCGUAAACGAUGUGUGUUAGACGUUGGAAAUUUAUUUUCAGUGUCGCAGCGAAAGCGAUAAACACACCGCCUGGGGAGUACGACCGCAAGGUUAAAACUCAAAUGAAUUGACGGGGACCCGCACAAGUAGUGGAGCAUGUGGUUUAAUUCGAAGAUACGCGCAGAACCUUACCAACACUUGACAUGUUCGUCGCAACUUUAAGAGAUUAAAGUUUUCGGUUCGGCCGGACGAAACACAGGUGCUGCAUGGCUGUCGUCAGCUCGUGUCGUGAGAUGUUGGGUUAAGUCCCGCAACGAGCGCAACCCUCACUUUUAGUUGCCAUCAUUAAGUUGGGCACUCUGAAAGAACUGCCAGUGAUAAGCUGGAGGAAGGUGGGGAUGACGUCAAGUCCUCAUGGCCCUUACGUGUUGGGCUACACACGUGCUACAAUGGUAUCUACAACAGGAAGCGAAACAGCGAUGUUAAGCAAAUCCUUAAAAGAUACCUCAGUUCGGAUUGCACUCUGCAACUCGAGUGCAUGAAGCUGGAAUUACUAGUAAUCGUGGAUCAGCGUGCCACGGUGAAUGCGUUCCCGGGUCUUGUACACACCGCCCGUCACACCAUGGGAGUUGGUUCUACCUUAAGGCAAGGUUUAAUACCCUUGACCACGGUAUAGUCAGCGACUGGGGUGAAGUCGUAACAAGGUAACCGUA
rnacentral:rRNA from 1 species